rnacentral:lncRNA from 1 species
AUAACUCUGCGCACACUGAAUCGGAAGUUGACAAUGUCCGGCAAAGAUAAGAAUUUGCAUAAUAUGUCGGAGUCGGAAUCCGAGCAAGAAGGCGUUGACAAAGAAGGCAUUGAGUGGAUAAUGAAUCUUCCAGACGUGCCCAUGAAGCUCCCACCACAUGUCGAAUUGCAGAGAACUCGAGUCGAAUGCAAAGCCGAUGCUCCCAUUCAUGUACUCUUCGUUUCCAUUUCCCAUAAUUUGGUUAUUCAAAUUCUAAGAAUGGGAAAUAUCCUUUUUAGUAUGUUUACUGUAGUUGUAUGUUUAAUGUGAAUUUAUUAAAUUACGUUUCAUGCUUCUGGAGAGAAGUGAAUUUAAUGGAACCUGUUUACUUUACUUGAUUUUUAUUCAUAGUACGUGUACAUACUAUUUCUCAUGUUGUAAUUAGCUUACCUUAGUUUUCUUCUCAUGGUCCUUGUGGAAAACGUGGACUUCUGUAGACAGAUACCAUACAGUAUUCUGGAGCAUUUGCUUCCAUGGGCUUUGACAACAGUUUACGUCUGGAUAAUUUUCGCAACAACUUUAAAAUUGAAGUUAUUGAUCUGAAAGAGGAUGACAUUGAGUUUGACAUGAUUGGCAUUGAUCCAGCACUUGCUAAUGCAUUUCGAAGAAUCCUGAUAUCCGAGGU